rnacentral:tRNA from 1 species
UAGCCUAGUGGUUAAGGCUAUGGCUUGCCAAUCCGGAGACGGCGGGUUCGAUUCCCGU